UCCAGAAUAAACUCUUAUUUCCCUUUGAGGUGAAAGUUGUAUUUUGUUGUUGUUGAUUACACACACACACACACACACACACACACACACAUACACACACACACACUUCUGUACUGCUCUGUACAGCAAUGACUGAUGGGAAGGGAAGGAAUCACAUGACAGUUGGACGGGGCAGUUGGGAAUCUGCAAGAGGAUGUUCAGCUGGAGCCACAGUGUGAAGGCGAUGUCUAUAACUGCUGCAGCUCUGAAGUCCCUGCCUUGACUUCCUGCCCUGGCUUCCCUUCAUGAUGGAGUGUAACCUACAGGCCAAAAAAGUGCUCUCCUCAAGCUGGCUUUGGUCAGUUGUUUGGUCAGCCAAACAAAGGAUGGCUCCUGCUCUGUGGAAAGCCGUGAUAACAUUCGCCGUAACAAGAUGGCGCUGGCUUCCGCUGUGCCCCAUGUGGAAAGCCGCGAUAGCAUUCACCGUCACAAGAUUGCGCUGGCUUCCGCUGUGCCCCAUGUGGAAAGCGGCGAUAACAUUCGCCAUUACAAGAUGGCGCUGGCUUCCGCUGCACCAGCCCGACUUCCUUUCAGGAAACUAGCUGUGUGCGCAUGUGCAAGAGUGUGUUCGAGCCAAGUCUUUGCCCACCCAGGGGCGUGCCAAUGAGAUCAUGGGUAAGCGACCAAUCAGGCGUGGACACGCCACAUUAGGGUGUAUAUAAGCAGCGCCGUUCUGGGGCUCGGUCUCUUCCUCUUUAAGAUGCAAUAAACGCUUUGCUGCAGAAGGA